AAUAGUCACGUUUUAACACAGGGAAUUAAUUCCCUACAUCAAUGAAAGUAAAUAAUGUACACAAACAUUUGAUAGGCAGUUUUGAUGUGUAGUUUAUCUUAAAAAUAAUUUUACUCUCACUAGAAUUUUUACUGUAUUGAAAAUGUUCUCCUUGGAGUAGUUUGGUUUGACAGUUAUAGUCUCUGUUUAACAUUUUAAUGGUUACUGAUGUGAUUGAGUACAAUCUUCUUAUGACCUUUAUUUUCAAUUAAUUAGUCACCAAACUCAUACUGGUGUAUUAAAUGUCCAGAGAUAUCCUGUUGACUUCUUCAGUUUAUUUUUCUUACAAGCAGAAUUGAUCUGCAUAUUAAAAUAAUUCAAAACAUAAUUUGCAUAUUGAAAUAAUUUAAAACAGCUUAAUUUACUGUUUAUGUUAUUUUGACAUUGAGCUGUCCAUCAACAACCCAUCUUUAAUAUAAGACUGGAAUUGAAGGCCUUUAUCAAAAUUCAAAUUAACUUUCUUUAAUGACAUAAAUAACAAGAAAGACAGUACUUUAUAUUGUUUUGUAGUGUUUUAAUUAAAAACUAAUUAAUUUUGGGGAGUUACAUGUAUUUGCAUAACAGCUGUUUCAUCAUAAUUAAGAAAGUUUCAGAUGUGCUGUACCAGCUAAUCAGUGGUGUAUAUAUACGAUAACGCUCUGAGUAUAUUAGAUAUUUUUUAUGUAGGGUCAGUUUCAUGAACUUAGGAUUAUUUGAAUUUGUUACUGAUGUUAGAGCCGCAAACCUGUCGCCAUUCAGAUAUUCUUUUUGUAGGACAGAGGUAAAGGGAGAUUACUCCUAUUAGGUAAAGAUCAUUAGCUAAGAUUCAAUUACAGGUCAACAUGCCAAUAUUGAUACCGGGUAGUUUUUAAGUUUACUGCAAGGAAAUGAUAUUGGUCACUUUUGUAUUACUAAAUUUUCUUAAUUAUGUAUUUGCAUGCUUUUAAUUGAAACAAAGAAAAGCAAGAGCUUGAUCAUGUUAGAAUUCCAUGCUCAUCACCUCAACAGAGUUGAGACAGGCAUAUGUUAUACCCCAAUAUCAGCAUCUGGUUAAUUAGAAUUGUUAAAGACAGUUUUGAAGUGCUACAUCAACAUAACUUACAUGGCUAGUUUUUUAAGGGAUGAUAAUUAGCACAUGGAAUGUUUCAAAAGCUGGAUCUGACAUUUAUUUCAUUUGAUCGACCUACAUGUAUGUAGGAUUUAAUUUUUCUAAUACUUCUGGUAAACAUUUUGUUAACAAAUUACUAAGCUAUGUUUGUUGGGGUCAAACAAGAAUUCAACUGACCUAUCAGGGCAAAAGUCAAGUCAUCAAAUUAAAGGUCAAGGUGACAUUUUGUAUUCAACUCGGGUAACAUUUUCAUUUUGUCAUAAAUUGCUCAUAAUAAAACUGAAAGUCAUCUGCAUGACCAUAGGUGAAAGUCAAUGGGUCAAAGGUCAAGGUUAUUAAGGGAACGGUUCUGGCCUUUAGGCCAAUUAGAUGUCAAGGUCAAAUUAACUGAUUGAAGAAAACUUAGUCAUCUGACCAAAACUGGUCAUUGAGUCAAAGGGUCAAGGUCACAUUUUAUAUAUUAGCUUCUGAACAUUUUGGUCUUUUUAAAAAGUCAUUUUAUACACAACACAAACAGUAUGGAAAGUUAAGACAAAAUUUUCUUUCUAAGAUUUGGCUUUCUCAGGGACUGCUCGUUCUUACAUUGAAUUAUCAAGAAAACAACUUACAAAAUUACAUAAUAAAUUUUAACCAAAUAUACGAAGGAUAAACUCUAUACAUUAGAACUAAAAUCUAAAAUGCUACUGGUUGGAUGGCUGAUGAUUCGAAGACUCCUUUUUAAAUACACAGGAUAUGUACUUUGGCUAUAUGUGACUCAUAUUUAUAUUUGAUAAAACUGUAUUUUAUUAACUUUGUGAUUCUCGAGGUAUUGUGGGUGUGGGUGGGUGGAGGUUGGGUUGCGGUUAGAGGUGAACUAUGUAAUCUUUAGAUUGUUCUAUAUAUUGUGUGUUUAUAGACAUGAUUCUCAUUUUUAAUACUGAAAAAUUACUUGUGAAAUAAGUUAAAUAUAAACACAAAAACAAAUUCAACUCUUUACACCAGCAACAUUUUAUUUAUUGUCAGAUUUGACUGUAGGUGAUUUUUUUUCUCGGGAUAACCACUGGGGACUAAACAUGUUAAAUGAGAAAAAAUGUCCAAUAUUACAUUACAUGUAAAAGGAAAUUGUCAUCUAAAUGACAACAUCUGGAUAAAAUUUGAAAAACAUACAAAAAGAAAAGCAAUCUGUCACUUCAAAAGAGACAUUAUCGGUCUAACAGACUGAAUGGAACAAGAUCCUGCACAGAUGUUUCCACCAUAGAAAUUUCUUUACAAUCUAGACAUAUAGAAAGUUUGUUGUAAGGUAAUCUAUAACCGUCUACUUUCAAAUAUAUGAUAUAUUUCUGUAGCACAAUAUUGAUUUAAUAAUCAUCAAACCGGCUCAAACAAGUUUGGUUUGUAAAGAUGUGACUUUUGUAAUUACUAGACAUAUUGAUAUGGUUGGCUAGAAAGAAAUUCCCUCUUUAUGGAGCCAGAGGUCCUGGGUUUGAUCUCAAGCAGAGGCACUGAAACAGUUACACGUAUCAUGACUUCUGUUACAAAUUUUUGAUACGUUUAUAGUGUAGUUAAAUACACUUGAUCUAAAGUGCUGGGAAAUAACCAUUUGUUAACAUUGGACAAGGUCAUUGCAUCCUCAUACAAUGUACCAAACACAUGUUCAAUUCCCACCCAGCUUUAAUUCAAUCAAUUAGCUAGAAAUCAUCAUUUUUUUAAGCAUUGUAACAUGCAUGAACUCAAUACCUUUUUUUAACAUUGUAAUAUGCUGGAAAUUAAUAUCUUUUUGAAAAAUUGUAACCUGAUGAUUAAGGAUGCAUGCAUUUAUUAGCCAGUAGCAUGUUGUUGUACAGUUAGAAUUUACCAGCGGUACCUCAGGGUACAUAUUACAUGUUACUGUACAGUAAAAAUUUACCAGAGGUACCUCAGGGUACAUGUUACUGUACAGUUAGAAUUUACCAGAGGUACAUCAGGGUACAUGUUACUGUACAGUUAAAAUUAACCAGAGGUACAUCAGGGUACAUGUUACUGUACGGUAUAAAUUUACCAGAGGUACAUCAGGGUACAUGUUACUGUACAGUUAAAAUUUACCAGAGGUACAUCAGGGUACAUGUUACAUGUUACUGUACAGUUAAAAUUUACCAGAGGUACAUCAGGGUACAUGUUACUGUACAGUUAAAAUUUACCAGUGGUACCUCAGGGUACAUGUUACUGUACAGUAUAAUUUACCAGAGGUACCUCAGGGUACAUGUUGCUGUACAGUUAGAAUUUACCAGAGGUACAUCAGGGUACAUGUUACUGUACAGUUAAAAUUUACCAGAGGUACCUCAGGGUACAUGUUACAUGUUACUGUACAGUUAAAAUUUACCAGAGGUACCUCAGGGUACAUGUUACUGUACAGUUAAAAUUUACCAGAGGUACCUCAGGGUACAUGUUACAUGUUACUGUACAGUUAAAAUUUACCAGUGGUACCUCAGGGUACAUGUUACUGUACAGUAUAAUUUACCAGAGGUACCUCAGGGUACAUGUUACUGUACAGUUAAAAUUUACCAGAGGUACCUCAGGGUACAUGAGGAAUAUUUAAGGUUGGAAAAUAUACAGAACAUUGUAUAAAGUAUCACUGUUUUUUAGAGAUGUAUCAUCGUCCAUCAGCGAUGUUUUCUGGAGUUACUGUUUCCUAGCUAAUAGAUUGCUCUUAAAUAACUACAAAAAUCCCACAACGACUCCCCAAAAUAUCUUGCUAUCUUAAGUGUAAAUUAUGAAUUAGCACUCUACUGUGUAUGCAGGAUACAAUAUAUAAAACAAUUACCGGUAGUAUACAGUAUCUAAAGAACCCUUUGUGCCUGUCAUUCUGAUCAAUUUUAAUCUUUGAUAAAUUUAUUGAUUAACUAGUUAUCCGUCAUGAACUUAAAUGGUAGUCAACGAUCUGAAGUGAAAUGGCAGGUAAUUUAAUUAUGUGCUGUCUGACAAUUUUCUCAUUAUUUUUCAUGAUUUCGACAUUUUUAAAUAGCAGAAGUACACUGGAUUUGGAUGGUUGAAGCUGAAGAGAAAAUUACAGGUCAAAAGUGUCUGAAGGUUAAAAUAACAUUAUACCUCUGAUAGACAAACUGUAGAUAUCUGAUCUGACCUGUGAUUAACAUGUUACUAUCCAAUAUAAUAUAACUUGUAUCCUGUUAGGGGAGGUAAUUCACUUACUGUUGAUAUAGAUAUUUUUCUGAUCUGAUGUUUGAUUUAAUAAACUGUCCAAUUUAACAUUAUGCAACUUUGUAAGUAAAACACACUUGUAAAGGGAGAUAAUCAACUUUCUGUUGAUAAAGAUGUUUUCUGAAUUGAUCUGACCUUUAAUUUCACAUACUGUCCAAUUUAUAUAACUUCUAUCAUAAUACACACUUAACAUACAACAAACUUCUUAGGGGAGGGAAUCCAUUUACUGUUGGUAUAGAUAAUAUCUUAUCUGACCUAUAAUUUAACAUUGAUAACAUUUGAAAUUAAAUUAUAAAUUAUAUUUAAAAUUCAAUAUAAUACACUCAUAUCAGUAAAACUCUCUCUUGUGAGGGGAGGUAUUCGACUUACUGUUGCAGUUUUGUCAAUCUUUCAAAAAAAAAACAAAAAACAAAAAACAACAAAGAAAUAAAGGAAGAAA